rfam:Verrucomicrobiaceae bacterium TMED76 70312, whole genome shotgun sequence.
AGUAAAAAGCGGGAGUGCUGUUACCACAGCUGAGAAUUGUCAUAUGACAAUACCCUUUGAACCUGAAAUGGAUAAUACCGACGUAGGGAGCCUUUUUAUAAGUUUA